rnacentral:rRNA from 1 species
CAGCCGCCGCGGUAAAACAGAGGGUGCGAGCGUUAAUCGGAUUUACUGGGCGUAAAGCGUGCGUAGGCGGCUUUUUAAGUCGGAUGUGAAAUCCCUGAGCUUAACUUAGGAAUUGCAUUCGAUACUGGGAAGCUAGAGUAUGGGAGAGGAUGGUAGAAUUCCAGGUGUAGCGGUGAAAUGCGUAGAGAUCUGGAGGAAUACCGAUGGCGAAGGCAGCCAUCUGGCCUAAUACUGACGCUGAGGUACGAAAGCAUGGGGAGCAAACAGGAUUAGAUACCCCAGUAGUCCCUGUCUCUUAUAA